UACGAAGGGUGCAAGCGUUAAUCGGAAUUACUGGGCGUAAAGGGUGCGUAGGCGGUUGUUUAAGUCUGUCGUGAAAUCCCCGGGCUCAACCUGGGAAUGGCGAUGGAUACUGGACAGCUAGAGUGUGUCAGAGGAUGGUGGAAUUCCUGGUGUAGCGGUGAAAUGCGCAGAUAUCAGGAAGAACACCCGUGGCUAAGGCGGCUCUCUAGUACGGUACUGGACGCUGAGACGCGAAAGCGUGGGGAGCGAACAGG
rnacentral:rRNA from 1 species